UACGAAGGAGGCAAGCGUUGUGCGGAUUCAUUGGGGUUAAAGGGUGCGUAGGCGGCUAUUUAAGUCAGUGCUGAAAUACCCCGGCUUAACCGGGGGGGUGGCAUUGAUACUGGGUAGCUUGAGUGCUAGCGAGGCAGGCGGAAUUGUCGGUGUAGCGGUGAAAUGCAUAGAUAUCGGAAAGAAAACCGAGUGUGCAGACAGCUUGCCAGGGAGCAACUGACGCUGAGGCACGAAAGUGUGGGGAUCAAGCCGG
rnacentral:rRNA from 1 species